rnacentral:tRNA from 1 species
GGGGAUUUAGCUCAGUGGUAGAGCGCUUGCCUAGCAAGCGCAAGGGCGCAAGGCCCUGGGUUCGGUCCCCAGCUCCG